UAGACUACGAAAAUCCAAGUAACCUAGCAGCCGGCAAUAAAUAUACGGUGAUAAUCCAGGUUACUGUGAACAUCCUUGAAGAAAAUGAUGAAAAGCCAAUUUGUACUCCAAACUCUUAUUUCCUGGCCCUCCCAGUGGAUCUGAAAGUUGGCACAAAUAUUCAGAAUUUCAAGCUGACAUGUACCGACCUUGAUUCCAGCCCCAGAUCUUUCCGUUAUUCCAUUGGCCCAGGUAACGUCAACAAUCAUUUCACCUUCUCUCCCAAUGCUGGUUCCAAUGUCACACGCCUGCUGCUUACAUCUCGCUUUGACUAUGCUGGUGGGUUUGAUAAGAUCUGGGACUACAAGCUACUUGUCUACGUAACUGAUGACAACUUGAUGUCUGACAGGAAGAAAGCGGAGGCUCUUGUUGAGACAGGAACAGUGACACUGAGUAUUAAAGUCAUUCCCCACCCAACCACUAUCAUCACCACGACCCCCAGG
rnacentral:lncRNA from 1 species